rnacentral:rRNA from 1 species
UACGUAGGGUGCGAGCGUUGUCCGGAUUUAUUGGGCGUAAAGAGCUUGUAGGCGGCUCGUCGCGUCGGGUGUGAAAACUUGCGGCUUAACCGCAAGCCUGCACCCGAUACGGGCGGGCUAGAGUUCGGCAGGGGAGACUGGAAUUCCUGGUGUAGCGGUGAAAUGCGUAGAUAUCGGGAGGAACACCUGUGGCGAAAGCGGCGCACUGGACCAUAACUGACGCUGAGGCGCGAAAGCUAGGGGAGCAAACAGG